ACAACUCAACUGGAUUUAGACAGCUGUACAAACAACGAGCAACAUGCGAAUUAGCUUUGAGGAAAUGUGGAUGCCUAUUCAUCGCAAUGAUAUUGCAAUUUAAUUGUUUAGAUCAAAAUAAGAAUGACGCAGAUCAGAUUGCAUUAAAUAUUAGCCUAUGUCUUUACAUUAAAAAAAUGGUAUAAUAGCAUUUUAAAUUAGGCUAUAUAAUCUGUAUAUUUUUAUAAAUGUAUUUAUUUAUCAUUUCUUCGGUGUGUUAUCUCUUAUCCAUGAGUAAACCGAGAGGAAGGUUGUACUAAUGGGCAUGUUUAACGAGAAGGAAUGUUUUCAAGCAGCUCACACUUAGAGCGCUGUAAAGGAUGCAGAUUUCUUUGUGACAUCUUCUUAAAUUAGAAUCUCUGGUACCCUCGAUAGUUCACUACUUUUGUAGUACUUGAUUUCAAAGGAUAAUAAAGGGAAACCGGAGUAAAUUUUCACUUGUUUUACUCGAUGCACUGAAAACGUCUCACGUGGCAGGAUGCAGUGUGGAAUGUGCACACCUUGGAUCAUGACAGAGAGAGAGAAGGAAGGAAGGGAGGGAAAGAGGAAGUGAAGCACAUCCGCCACAUACAUCUGGGCUGAGGGGGAUCCUCUUCCUUGGCUGCUGGUCUACAUAUGGAAAGGACCAGGAUGCUCACUGACGAAUCACAAUGCAGUUUUGGUCUAAUAAAAUUGGUAUGAUUCUGA